AACGCACCUUGCGCUCCUUAGUAUUCUGAGGAGCAUGCCUGUUUGAGUGUCAUUAAGUUCUCAACCAUACUAAUUUUAUCUAUUGGUGUGGCUUGGUUAUGGGGGAUAUUUUUUGCAGGCCUAAAAGAAAGGUCUGCUCCCCUGAAAUGCAUUAGUGGUAUCUGGAGCAGAGACAACUAUUGGUGUGAUAACUAUCUAUGCCUUUGGUGAACUGCAUAAACAGAGUAAACUGCUUACAACUUGUGAAACCCUUGUUAGGGACACGUUUUUGACAAAUUUGACCUCAAAUCAGGUAGGACUACCCGCUGAACUUAA
rnacentral:misc_RNA from 1 species